UGGGACUCAAGGAACUCACAGGCUAUGAUCACUUCAGGCCAAUUUCAACAGGCAUUCCAUGCUCAGGUUUGCGGGUUCAAGAACCCAUACAAGAACUCUAUUGUGCAUCCAGAAUCUGGUUCACAGGCAGGUUCCCACACAGUCCAGACUCUGCUGGGCUAUAUGAAAGUAAAGUAAGAUCUGCUAUUCUACUGACAGUAGCAGAUCUGUACUGAACAGCCCUUGAAGUCACAAAUUCAUGGAUCUGGAGUCGAAUAUUAACUAACGGGUUGAACAUAUGUUAUAAGAGAGCUGCGUUUUCCAUUACUGCGCAGUGCGCUCCGAUUCACAGACAAGAGAGGAACGGACUUGGACGCACGUCAAGAGAGCCACCGACCGAUGCGACGCUAGCGUGCCAAAAACACUCCAGAAAAAAACGGAAGAAAUGCAGAAACGAAAGGAACAUGAGUUGAAAAUUCAAGAAAAUGGAAAGACAAGCAAAUCACCGAAACUAUGUGGGACCAACUACCCUGUCAGCAUCUCCUUUAUAGUGGUGAAUGAGUUCUGUGAACGCUUCUCCUACUAUGGCUUGAAAGAUAGGUAACUUAACAAAGACACCACCUCGCGACAUGAGCAGGCAAGUGCACAUGUGAAAAUGUAGAGUUUCCAUCAACCUCGUGCGCAAUGUAGACAUCAAAGAACGCUGCAUAAAACCAUUCACCAUAAAUAAAGUGUCCUUUCAUUAUGUGUUGCUGAAUUCCUACGAAUAUUUGCUGCCAUUGUAGUAAGGUUGGCAAUACGAGAGGUCUUCAGACUUACCAUUUUUGUAUUAUUUUCUUUGAAAGAACAACUAGUGGGUUUUGAGUCCUUCUCCUCUAUUUGGGAAGUUGGUCUGCCUGCUCUUCAGUGUGAGAGAGAUAUUCUGAGUGCAGUUUUGUGUCUCCUUCCUCUGUAUAUAAAAACUGUUAAAAACUGUAUAACACAAUAGUGUCUUUGGAAAACAGGUUCAUAUAUCCUGAAGUCAAUAACAAAUGUGACUAUGUAUAUAUUUAUUUUGCCGUUAAUGUAUUUAAGACAUAUUUCGGCAAAUUAACCAAGUUUUUGCUGGCUUAGCUAGCCGUGUGAUUGACGCGUUAAUUAGCACCGUUGGUCACUGCACUACAAUGUCACUCUAGCUAUUGCUAGCAGGUGAUUUGCUAGCAGGUGGUUUAUUGAAAUAUUAAGUGAAUGUUUAUUUUCUUACUACCUUAAAAGGUUUAUAUAAAAAGGGUUUUACUUGUGCUCUGUAUUUAUGGAUUAAUAUCACUUAAGAUUGAGAGUAUGUAUCACUACUGUUGUUCCUAUCUAAAAUAUAUAUUGUGUCCUACCUAACCAGUGAACGUGUGGCUGUGACCGUCCUGUCAAAGCCUGUCAUCAUUGUUUGAUAUCUUUCCCUGCAGGUAUGCAUUCAUGUAUUUUUGUUAUUUUCUGAACAAAACGCAUACUAUACGAUCACUUUGUGUAUUGAGUCUGAGAGAUAUUCCGAGAGCAGUGAACGUGUGGCUGUGACUGUCCUGUCAAUGCCUGUCAUCACUGUUUAAUAUCUUUUACUGUAGAUAAAAACCGA